rnacentral:piRNA from 1 species
UGUAACCAAUGAACUUAAUGGCCAUCUC